AGGUGUUUGGAGUUUGAUGUAAGCAAAAAUAAAGCAAUUGAAGCUUUAGGAAGAGUUCUCAACUUUCCUAAUACAGCAUAUGCAAUUAACUUAAGCUUUCCCUAUUGAUACUGGAAAGAAAUUCUA